rnacentral:rRNA from 1 species
GACAGAGGGUGCGAACGUUGCUCGGAAUUACUGGGCGUAAAGCGCGUGUAGGCGGGUGAUCAAGUCAGAUGUGAAAUCCCUGGGCUCAACCCAGGAACUGCAUUUGAAACUGGUCGCCUUGAGUGUUGGAGAGGGAAGCGGAAUUCCUGGUGUAGAGGUGAAAUUCGUAGAUAUCAGGAGGAACACCGGUGGCGAAGGCGGCUUCCUGGACAACUACUGACGCUGAGACGCGAAAGCGUGGGGAGCAAACAGG